rnacentral:rRNA from 1 species
UACAGAGGGUGCGAGCGUUAAUCGGAAUUACUGGGCGUAAAGCGCACGUAGGCGGCUUGGUAUGUCGGGUGUGAAAUCCCCGGGCUCAACCUGGGAACUGCGUCCGAUACUGGCAGGCUUGAAUCCGGGAGAGGGAUGCGGAAUUCCAGGUGUAGCGGUGAAAUGCGUAGAUAUCGGAAGGAACAUCAGUGGCGAAAGCGGCUUCCUGGACCAGCACCGACGUCAGGCACGAAAGCGUGGGGAGCAAACAGG